rnacentral:rRNA from 1 species
CCUACGGGGGGCUGCAGUGGGGAAUAUUGCACAAUGGGCGCAAGCCUGAUGCAGCCAUGCCGCGUGUGUGAAGAAGGCCUUCGGGUUGUAAAGCACUUUCAGCGGGGAGGAAGGCGGUGAGGUUAAUAACCUCAUCGAUUGACGUUACCCGCAGAAGAAGCACCGGCUAACUCCGUGCCAGCAGCCGCGGUAAUACGGAGGGUGCAAGCGUUAAUCGGAAUUACUGGGCGUAAAGCGCACGCAGGCGGUCUGUCAAGUCGGAUGUGAAAUCUCCGGGCUCAACCUGGGAACUGCAUUCGAAACUGGCAGGCUAGAGUCUUGUAGAGGGGGGUAGAAUUCCAGGUGUAGCGGUGAAAUGCGUAGAGAUCUGGAGGAAUACCGGUGGCGAAGGCGGCCCCCUGGACAAAGACUGACGCUCAGGUGCGAAAGCGUGGGGAGCAAACAGGAUUAGAUACCCGGGUAGAC